UUUUAAUAGCUUAUAAAAAGUGUAAUAUUGAAGAUAUUAAGAAGGUAAUAAUAUCUUAAAAUAU
rnacentral:tRNA from 1 species